UGCCUUUUUAGUGAGAAAUACACAAGUUAAAAAUGUAGUGCAAUAUCAAUAGAAAGGGUAAACAGAGAAUUGUGGAUGCUAUUUAUAGAAAAGAAUCUGGGUUUUACAAAUUAUUAAAAACUAUUAUCUAAUUUUGAAUAUCAGGAUCCAGGAAGUAAGAUCAGGAUUUUAAGACGAUGCUUUAAAAAUCACUGUGCCUAUUCUAAAAAAAAAAAAAACACACCAAAAAACAAAAACAAAACAAAAAAACAACCAACCCAACAAAAAAACCCCACAAAAGUACAAGUAUGCUGAAUAGACUGAUUAGACUUGAUGUGGCUGUUUUAUUGAGCUGCCUAUCAUUGAACUUUUUUUAAGCCUUAGGAAAGCUAGUAUGGAGUUUGAAGAGAAGCACAGAUCUCCAUGAAGAGCAGUCAGUUAUAGUCAUGGUGUGUGGAGGAACAGGUCCUGUUCUUGCUGUUGUUACUCCCACAUAGGCAGACUCUGUAAUUGAUUAUGUGUGGGUAGGGCCCUAUUGAAAUUCAGGAGAUUCUGCAGUAGUGCGGGGUUCUUUUUGUGAAAGUUCAGUUGCAACAUCAGGACCCUACUGUGACUCCUUACUGUGCAUUCUGUCACUGUCUCAUUGAUUGUACUGGAACCUGCCUAUUGGGAUAAUUACCAAAUACUAUAUUCCUCAAAACUUCUUAAUGGCACUGAGGCUUUGUGGAUAGUUGGUCACAUGAUGAGAAAAUUCAGCUGUAAGUACAUUAAGAUGAUUGACUUUUUCAAUAGUUAG
rnacentral:lncRNA from 1 species